AAAGUGCGAUAAGUUGUGUGAAUUGCAGAAUUUUGUGAAUCAUCGAAUCUUUGAACGCAAAUGGCGCUUUCGAGACCUCUCGAAAGUGUGCUUGUUUGAGUGACGGUAAAAACAACAAUCAACUGUCGUUUAUUCGAUGGUUGAAGAUGAGAGUUCAGAAUCUUUUCUGAUCUCUUUAAGAAUAUUGAGGUCUUUUGCAUUGACGGUUGUAACACAAAACCUUUUUGUGUGCAAACAUUAGUUGAAGCGAAAUGCUCCAAACCUAUCAAUUAAAUUGAAUUUACAUUGAUGGCUUGGUCGUUACGUGAGCCAGAAAGGUACAACCUAAUACAAAAGAAUCAAGCCUCACCCCUGCCCUCGGGCAACUUUUAAAAUAUUCGUCCUCAAGUCAAGCAAGGCU
rnacentral:misc_RNA from 1 species